AUUGAACGCUGGCGGCAUGCCUUACACAUGCAAGUCGAACGGCAGCAUGAUCUAGCUUGCUAGAUUGAUGGCGAGUGGCGAACGGGUGAGUAAUACAUCGGAACGUGCCCUGUAGUGGGGGAUAACUAGUCGAAAGAUUAGCUAAUACCGCAUACGACCUGAGGGUGAAAGUGGGGGACCGCAAGGCCUCAUGCUAUAGGAGCGGCCGAUGUCUGAUUAGCUAGUUGGUGAGGUAAAGGCUCACCAAGGCGACGAUCAGUAGCUGGUCUGAGAGGACGAUCAGCCACACUGGGGCUGUGACACGGCCCAGACUCCUACGGGAGGCAGCAGUGGGGAAUUUUGGACAAUGGGCGAAAGCCUGAUCCAGCAAUGCCGCGUGUGUGAAGAAGGCCUUCGGGUUGUAAAGCACUUUUGUCCGGAAAGAAAUGGCUCUGGUUAAUACCUGGGGUCGAUGACGGUACCGGAAGAAUAAGGACCGGCUAACUACGUG
rnacentral:rRNA from 1 species